CAGUCGCCGCGGGAAUACGGAGGGCGCGAGCGUUACCCGGAUUUACCGGGCGUAAAGGGCGUGUAGGCGGCCUGGGGCGUCCCAUGUGAAAGGCCACGGCUCAACCGUGGAGGAGCGUGGGAUACGCUCAGGCUAGAGGGUGGGAGAGGGUGGUGGAAUUCCCGGAGUAGCGGUGAAAUGCGCAGAUACCGGGAGGAACGCCGAUGGCGAAGGCAGCCACCUGGUCCACUUCUGACGCUGAGGCGCGAAAGCGUGGGGAGCAAACCGGAUUAGAUACCCCGGUAGUCCCUGUCUCUUAUAC
rnacentral:rRNA from 1 species